AUUGAACGCUGGCGGCAGGCCUAACACAUGCAAGUCGAGCGGAUGAAGGGAGCUUGCUCCUGGAUUCAGCGGCGGACGGGUGAGUAAUGCCUAGGAAUCUGCCUGGUAGUGGGGGAUAACGUCCGGAAACGGGCGCUAAUACUGCAUACGUCCUGAGGGAGAAAGUGGGGGAUCUUCGGACCUCUCGCUAUCAGAUGAGCCUAGGUCGGAUUAGCUAGUUGGUGGGGUAAAGGCCUACCAAGGCGACGAUCCGUAACUGGUCUGAGAGGAUGAUCAGUCACACGGGAGGUUGGACACGGUCCAUGCUCCUGCGGGAGGCAGCAGUCUGCAACAUUGGGCAAUGGGGGAAAGUCUUGUCCAGCCAUGCCACGUGUGUGAAGAAGGUCCUCGGAUUGUAAAGAACUUCAAGUUGGGAGGAAGGGCAUUAAGUUAAUACGUUGCUUUUGUGACGUUAAUAACAGAAUAAGCACCGGCUAACUUCGUG
rnacentral:rRNA from 1 species